rnacentral:rRNA from 1 species
GACGACCUCUGGCGGCGCGCCUAACACAUGCAAGUCGAACGAGCGAGAGAGAGCUUGCUUUCUCGAGCGAGUGGCGAACGGGUGAGUAACGCGUGAGGAACCUGCCUCAAAGAGGGGGACAACAGUUGGAAACGACUGCUAAUACCGCAUAAGCCCACGGGUCGGCAUCGACCAGAGGGAAAAGGAGCAAUCCGCUUUGAGAUGGCCUCGCGUCCGAUUAGCUAGUUGGUGAGGUAAUGGCCCACCAAGGCGACGAUCGGUAACCGGACUGAGAGGUUGAACGGCCACAUUGGGACUGAGACACGGCCCAGACUCCUACGGGAGGCAGCAGUGGGGAAUAUUGCACAAUGGGGGAAACCCUGAUGCAGCGACGCCGCGUGGAGGAAGAAGGUCUUCGGAUUGUAAACUCCUGUUGUUGGGGAAGAUAAUGACGGUACCCAACAAGGAAGUGACGGCUAACUACGUGCCAGCAGCCGCGGUAAAACGUAGGUCACAAGCGUUGUCCGGAAUUACUGGGUGUAAAGGGAGCGCAGGCGGGAAGACAAGUUGGAAGUGAAAUCUAUGGGCUCAACCCAUAAACUGCUUUCAAAACUGUUUUUCUUGAGUAGUGCAGAGGUAGGCGGAAUUCCCGGUGUAGCGGUGGAAUGCGUAGAUAUCGGGAGGAACACCAGUGGCGAAGGCGGCCUACUGGGCACCAACUGACGCUGAGGCUCGAAAGUGUGGGUAGCAAACAGGAUUAGAUACCCUGGUAGUCCACACCGUAAACGAUGAUUACUAGGUGUUGGAGGAUUGACCCCUUCAGUGCCGCAGUUAACACAAUAAGUAAUCCACCUGGGGAGUACGACCGCAAGGUUGAAACUCAAAGGAAUUGACGGGGGCCCGCACAAGCAGUGGAGUAUGUGGUUUAAUUCGACGCAACGCGAAGAACCUUACCAAGUCUUGACAUCCCUUGACAGACAUAGAAAUAUGUAAUCUCUUCGGAGCAAGGAGACAGGUGGUGCAUGGUUGUCGUCAGCUCGUGUCGUGAGAUGUUGGGUUAAGUCCCGCAACGAGCGCAACCCUUAUGGUCAGUUACUACGCAAGAGGACUCUGGCCAGACUGCCGUUGACAAAACGGAGGAAGGUGGGGAUGACGUCAAAUCAUCAUGCCCUUUAUGACUUGGGCUACACACGUACUACAAUGGCGUUAAACAAAGAGAAGCAAGACCGCGAGGUGGAGCAAAACUCAGAAACAACGUCCCAGUUCGGACUGCAGGCUGCAACUCGCCUGCACGAAGUCGGACUUGCUAGUAAUCGUGGAUCAGCAUGCCACGGUGAAUACGUUCCCGGGCCUUGCACACACCGCCCUUC